rnacentral:piRNA from 1 species
UGCAAUGAUAACGCUUAGCAGGCUGC